GUGGUCAUUUCCAGUGGGAGAGCACAAGGCCAGCCCAGUGUGGCCGGGAGUAGCCAGCUGGCAUUUUGGUAGCUCAGACAGCCCUACAAGCUUAAAAAUCUGAUUUUCCAGCACCCGACAGAGGCUCUAUCUCUCAAGGGUGAGCUGACACCAGCUCAUGAGACCAGUGUGUAAAACAGAAUGCAGUUUAAUCAUUCUCAUUGAGGACUAUGAGGACAUGUACAGGACCUGCCCUGUACACUGGCAUGCUCGUAUUGGCAAGACCAGAACACCCUGUCCCGGUGGGCAGAUCUGCACAAAAGGCCAGCUUCUAGCAGGUGAUUGCUUGAUGUCAUAGCUAACUUUGCUUUUUAUGGAGAUUCAUCUGUUUAAGUGAAGAUGAAGUAAUGAUGAAGUUGAUGAAGGGUCGGAAGACUUGGAUUUUACAGACAGAUCCGUCACUAGCUAGUAUAUGACCAUAGCCAAAAAGUGGAAACAACUUAAAUAUCCAUCAGCUAAUGAAUGGACAAAGAAAAUGUAGUAUAUCCAUACAAUGGGAUUUUAUUUGGUCAUAAAAAGGAAUGAAAUAUUGAUACAUGCUAAAACAUGGAUGAAUCUUUAAAAAUGAUGGGGAGGACUUUGAGAAGAUUUUUGUGGUGCAGCAAGAUUAUAUGCUUAAAUUCCUGAACACAGCCUCAUGUGUCUGACAGUUAUUUUCCCCCGACAACUACUGGUUGACAUUAUGCAGUGUGGAACUCAGUCGCAGUGAUUUAACAUCUUCAAGUCACAAAUCCCUUUGACCACCCCCCACCCCCAACAAAAAACUCUCUCUCCAGAAAAAUACAUUUACCCACAACAUUUUCCAUAUAACUUUCAGAAUACUUAAAGAGAAAACCUGAGGAUAAUCUGCUUCCUCUUGUUUUAUGAACCGAACAUUUUAGUGCUUUUGACCAUAUUCUAAAUUAAAGCUAAUUUAUUUUGCUUCAUCUCUAGUUUUUGAAAUGUAUCCCCUCUUCUGUACUAUGUUUAUCUCUUAUUUACACCAUAUACAAUCCUUGAAAUAGCUAAUAUGUUUUAAAGUAUGUUUAAAACCUCUUCUGCCACUCAAAAAGCCGACCCCCCUCCCUUGUUUUUCCUACUUCUGCCUAUGAUACAGAAAUUUUCCCACCGUUCUCCUCUCUGAACCCUAUAUUCAAUCAAACAAUCAA